rnacentral:rRNA from 1 species
GGACGAACGCCGGCGGCGUGCCUAAUACAUGCAAGUAGAACGCUGAAGAGAGGAGCUUGCUCUUUCUUGGAUGAGUUGCGAACGGGUGAGUAACGCGUAGGUAACCUGCCUUGUAGCGGGGGAUAACUAUUGGAAACGAUAGCUAAUACCGCAUAACAAUGGAUGACUCAUGUCAUUUAUUUGAAAGGGGCAAAUGCUCCACUACAAGAUGGACCUGCGUUGUAUUAGCUAGUAGGUGAGGUAACGGCUCACCUAGGCGACGAUACAUAGCCGACCAGAGAGGGUGAUCGGCCACACUGGGACUGAGACACGGCCCAGACUCCUACGGGAGGCAGCAGUAGGGAAUCUUCGGCAAUGGGGGCAACCCUGACCGAGCAACGCCGCGUGAGUGAAGAAGGUUUUCGGAUCGUAAAGCUCUGUUGUAAGUCAAGAACGAGUGUGAGAGUGGAAAGUUCACACUGUGACGGUAGCUUACCAGAAAGGGACGGCUAACUACGUGCCAGCAGCCGCGGUAAUACGUAGGUCCCGAGCGUUGUCCGGAUUUAUUGGGCGUAAAGCGAGCGCAGGCGGUUUGAUAAGUCUGAAGUUGAAGGCUGUGGCUCAACCACAGUUCGCUUUGGAAACUGUCAAACUUGAGUGCAGAAGGGGAGAGUGGAAUUCCAUGUGUAGCGGUGAAAUGCGUAGAUAUAUGGAGGAACACCGGUGGCGAAAGCGGCUCUCUGGUCUGUAACUGACGCUAAGGCUCGAAAGCGUGGGGAGCGAACAGG